UACAAUGGAGAGUUUGAUCCUGGCUCAGGAUGAACGCUAGCGGGAGGCCUAACACAUGCAAGCCGAGCGGUAUUUGUUCUUCGGGACAGAGAGAGCGGCGUACGGGUGCGGAACACGUGUGCAACCUGCCUUUAUCAGGGGGAUAGCCUUUCGAAAGGAAGAUUAAUACCCCAUAAUAUAUUGAUUGGCAUCAAUUAAUAUUGAAAACUCCGGUGGAUAGAGAUGGGCACGCGCAAGAUUAGAUAGUUGGUGAGGUAACGGCUCACCAAGUCAGUGAUCUUUAGGGGGCCUGAGAGGGUGAUCCCCCACACUGGUACUGAGACACGGACCAGACUCCUACGGGAGGCAGCAGUGAGGAAUAUUGGACAAUGGGUGAGAGCCUGAUCCAGCCAUCCCGCGUGAAGGACGACGGUUCUAUGGAUUGUAAACUUCUUUUAUACUGGGAUAAACCUACCCUCGUGAGGGUAGCUGAAGGUACAGUAUGAAUAAGCACCGGCUAACUCCGUGCCAGCAGCCGCGGUAAUACGGAGGGUGCAAGCGUUAUCCGGAUUUAUUGGGUUUAAAGGGUCCGUAGGCGGAUCUGUAAGUCAGUGGUGAAAUCUCAUAGCUUAACUAUGAAACUGCCAUUGAUACUGCAGGUCUUGAGUAAAGUAGAAGUGGCUGGAAUAAGUAGUGUAGCGGUGAAAUGCAUAGAUAUUACUUAGAACACCAAUUGCGAAGGCAGGUCACUAUGUUUUAACUGACGCUGAUGGACGAAAGCGUGGGGAGCGAACAGGAUUAGAUACCCUGGUAGUCCACGCCGUAAACGAUGCUAACUCGUUUUUGGGUUUUCGGAUUCAGAGACUAAGCGAAAGUGAUAAGUUAGCCACCUGGGGAGUACGUUCGCAAGAAUGAAACUCAAAGGAAUUGACGGGGGCCCGCACAAGCGGUGGAUUAUGUGGUUUAAUUCGAUGAUACGCGAGGAACCUUACCAAGGCUUAAAUGGGAAUUGACAGGUUUAGAAAUAGACUUUUCUUCGGACAAUUUUCAAGGUGCUGCAUGGUUGUCGUCAGCUCGUGCCGUGAGGUGUUAGGUUAAGUCCUGCAACGAGCGCAACCCCUGUCACUAGUUGCCAUCAUUCAGUUGGGGACUCUAGUGAGACUGCCUACGCAAGUAGAGAGGAAGGUGGGGAUGACGUCAAAUCAUCACGGCCCUUACGCCUUGGGCCACACACGUAAUACAAUGGCCAGUACAGAGGGCAGCUACCAGGCGACUGGAUGCGAAUCUCGAAAGCUGGUCUCAGUUCGGAUUGGAGUCUGCAACUCGACUCUAUGAAGCUGGAAUCGCUAGUAAUCGCGCAUCAGCCAUGGCGCGGUGAAUACGUUCCCGGGCCUUGUACACACCGCCCGUCAAGCCAUGGAAGUCUGGGGUACCUGAAGUCGGUGACCGUAACAGGAGCUGCCUAGGGUAAAACAGGUAACUAGGGCUAAGUCGUAACAAGGUAGCCGUACCGGAAGGUGCGGCUGGAACAUCUCAUUUUAGA
rnacentral:rRNA from 1 species